AUGCAUUCCAUCUCGUUUAUUCAGGAUCUUUCACCAAGCCAUCCAAUCAGAAACAAAGAUGAACACACUGGACACAUGCAGGAACCUGAAGUCAACUAUGCCUCCAUGCAAUUCAGGGGCCAGGAGAUGGGUAGCUUGGUUCCUAGAGACCAAGCGAGAGAGGAUGACGUCUAUGCUAAGGUUGGCAAGCCAAAGCUGAAGGAAAAGACUAAUAAGUGCAAUGACUACGAGAACAUUAAGGAAGUGUGUGCUUCGAAGCCCACCAUCGAGCCAAACAUGGAGACGGAGACAGGGAGCAGUGAGGAUGACAUGGAUAUCAGCUACUCUGAGGUCACGUUCAGAGCAAAGCCAGGACACCAGACAGUCUGUAGUUCUGACCCUCGCCACCGCAGGGCAGGCCACAGCAGCAGCUCAGAUGAAGAAGACUACACAACCCAGUACUCUGAUGUUAAAAUAUAAGAGGAAGUUUCAUUCAUAGUCAAAAAAAGUAUUAAGGUUUGUUUGUAAAUAUUUGUAUCACACCUACAGUACCAGUCAAAAGUUUGGACACACCUACUCAUUUAAGGGUUAUUAUUUAUUUUUACUAUUUUCUACAUUUUAGAAUAAUAGUGAAGACAUCAAAAUUAUGAAAUAACACAUAUGGAAUCAUGUAGUAACCAAAAAAGUGUUAAACAAAUAAAAAUGUAUUUUAUAUUUCAGAUUGUUCAAAGUUGCCACCCUUUGCCUUGAUGACAGCUUUGCACACUCUUGGCAUUCUCUCAACCAGUUUCAUGAGGUAGUCACCUGGAAUGCAUUUAAAUUAACAGGUGUGCCUUGUUAAAAGUUAAUUUGUGGAAUUUCUUUCCUUCUUAAUGCGUUUGAGCCAAUCAGUUGUGUUGUGACAAGGUAGGGGUGGUAUACAGAAGAUAGCCGUAUUUGGUAAAAGACCAAGUCCAUAUUAUGACAAGAACAGCUCAAAUAAGCAAAAAGAUAUAAGACAUGAAGGUAAUUUAAUCUGGAACAUUUCAAGAAUUUUGAACGUUUCUUCAAGUGCAGUCACAAAAACCAUCAUGCGCUAUGAUGAAACUGGCUCUCAUGAGGACCGCCACAGGAAAGGAACAUUGCAGCCCAAAUAAAUGUUUCACAGAGUUCAAGUAACAGACACAUCUCAACAUCAACUGUUCAGAGGAGACUGCAUGAAUCAGGCCUUCAUGGUCAAAUUGCUGCAAAGAAACCACUACUAAAGGACACCAAUAACAAGAAGAGACUUGCU
rnacentral:lncRNA from 8 species